UUCCCAUGAAGAGUUUUGCCAUGCUAAUACUGAUAUGCCAGAUAGACUGUGUCUCUCUUGGCGUAAGUGAGUUCAACUCAACUUCUCACACUGGCAGUGUGAUCUGAGGAAA
ensembl:snoRNA